UACGGGGGGGGCAAGCGUUGUUCGGAAUUACUGGGCGUAAAGGGCUUGUAGGUGGCCAACUAAGUCAGACGUGAAAUCCCUCGGCUUAACCGGGGAACUGCGUCUGAUACUGGAUGGCUAGAGUGUGGGAGAGGGAUGCGGAAUUCCCAGUGUAGCGGUGAAAUGCGUAGAUAUUGGGAGGAACACCAGUGGCGAAGGCGGCUCACUGGACCGGUACUGACGCUGAGGCGCGAAAGCGUGGGGAGCAAACGGG
rnacentral:rRNA from 1 species